AACGUAGGAGACAAACGUUAUCCGGAGUUACUGGGCGUAAAGGGCGUGUAGGUGGUUUCGUAAGUCUGGCGUGAAAUUUUUCGGCUUAACCGGGAAAGGUCGUCGGAUACUGCGGAGCUAGAGGACGGUAGAGGCGUGUGGAAUUCCGGGUGUAGUGGUGAAAUUCGUAGAUAUUGGGUGGAACACCGGUGGCGAAAGCGGCUCUCUGGUCCGGACCUGACGCUGAGGCGCGAAAGCGUGGGGAGCAAACAGG
rnacentral:rRNA from 1 species